rnacentral:rRNA from 1 species
CGAACGGGGAGAUUCAUCGUCAGCGACGCUGGCUUCGCGUCGGCGGGCGAUGCCCCGCGGGGCCCUCGCGGCUCGCGCGCGGGCACGCUGCCGUGCUGCGACGUCCGGCGUUCGUCGUCGUGCACUUCUCCCCUAGUAGAACGUCGCGACCCGCUGGGUGUCGGUCUACGGCCCGGGUGCGGUGCCUGACGCGUCGCCGGUAAAACGGCACGCGUCAAACCCCCGGUCGCCCGGCCGGCUGCCCGGCGGUACGCGCAAGGUAUCAGGCCGCACCACGUCAAAGUGCGUCGAGACCGUCGCAAGCGCGCGCCAUGGUUACACGGAGGUAUACGGACCUAGUGCCGUCACCGGUCCUGGCCCGCUGUUGGUCGUACGGUUAACCUUCGACAGGCCUGCCAACGUCCCAAUGGGGGGUCAAAGCCCCGGCGGGACCGAUACCGGUCGGCGACGCUACUGCUUUGGGUACUCUUAGGACCC